UAAUAUGAAAUAAUAUGAAUU
rnacentral:piRNA from 1 species